UACGUAGGGUGCAAGCGUUGUCCGGAAUUAUUGGGCGUAAAGAGCUCGUAGGCGGCUUGUCGCGUCGAAUGUGAAAACUCGGGGCUCAACUCCGAGCUUGCAUUCGAUACGGGCAGGCUAGAGUUCGGUAGGGGAGACUGGAAUUCCUGGUGUAGCGGUGAAAAUGCGCAGAUAUCAGGAGGAACACCGGUGGCGAAGGCGGGUCUCUGGGCCGAUACUGACGCUGAGGAGCGAAAGCGUGGGGAGCGAACAGG
rnacentral:rRNA from 1 species